rnacentral:rRNA from 1 species
GACGAACGCUGGCGGCGUGCUUAACACAUGCAAGUCGAACGGAAAGGCCCUGCUUUUGUGGGGUGCUCGAGUGGCGAACGGGUGAGUAACACGUGAGUAACCUGCCCUCGACUUUGGGAUAACUUCAGGAAACUGGGGCUAAUACCGGAUAGGAGCUCCUGCUGCAUGGUGGGGGUUGGAAAGUUUCGGCGGUUGGGGAUGGACUCGCGGCUUAUCAGCUUGUUGGUGGGGUAGUGGCUUACCAAGGCUUUGACGGGUAGCCGGCCUGAGAGGGUGACCGGCCACAUUGGGACUGAGAUACGGCCCAGACUCCUACGGGAGGCAACAGUGGGGAAUAUUGCACAAUGGGCGGAAGCCUGAUGCAGCAACGCCGCGUGCGGGAUGACGGCCUUCGGGUUGUAAACCGCUUUCGCCUGUGACGAAGCGUGAGUGACGGUAAUGGGUAAAGAAGCACCGGCUAACUACGUG